rnacentral:rRNA from 1 species
AUACCGCGUGAGGGAGGAAGGCUCUUGGGUUGUAAACCUCUUUUCUCAGGGAAGAAAAAAAUGACGGUACCUGAGGAAUAAGCAUCGGCUAACUCCGUGCCAGCAGCCGCGGUAAUACGGAGGAUGCAAGCGUUAUCCGGAAUGAUUGGGCGUAAAGGGUCCGCAGGUGGCAUUGWAAGUCUGCUGUUAAAGAGUCUMGCUCAACKWGAUMAAAGCAGUGGAAACUACAAAGCUAGAGUKUGGUCGGGGCAGAAGGAAUUCCUGGUGUAGCGGUGAAAUGCGUAGAUAUCAGGAAGAACACCAGUGGCGAAGGCGUUCUGCUAGGCCRAGACUGACACUGAGGGACGAAAGCUAGGGGAGCG